UCUGUUGCCUUUGGUUGCUUUUCACUCCACAGCAAACCCGCAGGUCUCCUCCACGGCUGUCAGCAGCUUCUCGUAGAGCUUCUCAUAGGACUCAUAUGGUGGAAUGUCGAUCCGGUUAAAGCUGAAAAAGGACAAAAAAGUGAGAGUCACUGGGUGGGCAGUCCAGCCCUGGGACCAACCUCAAGGCCAAGGACAGGCAGCGAGAAGUGUGUGUGGGAGGGGAGAGGAAUGGGGGGCGGGGCAGGAGUGGUGGUGAGUUCUCCAUGUCCCCCUGUGCUUUUCUGCCUCUAAUACAAAGAUUUGUAAUUUGUUUUUGCUUUUUGGUAGAGACAGGGUCUUGCUAGUUUCCCCAGGCUGCUCUCAAACUCCUGGCCUCAGGUGAACCUCUUGCCUUGGCCUCCCAACAUGCUGGGACUACAGGCCUAAGCCACUGUGCCCAAUCAACACAGUGAAGUAAGUCUUGAGCCUUGACAACCAAAACAUCACCAAAUUACUGUUCACGGCUUCUAUCAGGACAAAGCUCUCCGCUUGUUUUUGUCUGUCUGUCUGUGGGAGAAAUUCUUUCUCUGUGCUAGGAAUGCCUCUUUGGCAGCCCGUGUAACCCAGACUGGCUGUCAGGCAACGUCACCACUAACGAUGUAUUGCGUGUCUGUCUGUUCCUCUGGGACUUGAUCUGAGACCAAAACGGGGCAGUCUGGAAAAUUCCUUGCAAAAACAAAAUCUCAAAACUAGUAAGAUGACAAAUCCUUAAAAGAUGAAAUGAAUACUCAACUUUUGACUCGGUAUUUCCAGGGGGAAACUCGUUUCCAGUAUUUGUGCAAAGAAAAAGACAUCCUUUAAGAAGCUACCAUAGCAAACCAAAAAGUACAAAAUUGUGACCCAGAGGACGUACAGUGACUUCCUGGCUUCCUAGGGUGCUGUGGCUUUUGAGUUUUGAUGAUGACAGAAAUAUUUUAGCAGAGACUCCAUCUCCAAAAAAAAGAAAAAACAACAAAACGAACGUGAACGUCGGCAUCCUCCGGGGCUCCCAGGACGCCGUGACUUCCUGGCCGCAGUGCUUACCAGAUAUUCCUUUCAAGCUGGGCCAAGGUCAGCGGCAGGACAGGAAUCCAGGAGCAAUGAGGACCAGCAGAGACACCAUCUUUCUGUUGGGCAGACAGUCUCAGAGUGCAGCCUCCUGCUUCCUGGGGACCUGGGACAGGAAGGUGGCUCCUCCCCCUCGCAGGCCACACCCUCCAAGCCCCAACCUCCUGGGGAGUCAGGACAGGCUGCGCCAGGUGGGGGGCUUCAGAGACCUCCUGCAGGGCCCUGGCCACUCUGCCUGGCCCUGCCACCCUCCCACAGCACCAGCACUCCUUGUUCUGCACUGUGACCCUGUUCACCUCUGACCCACCUUCUAGACACUUUGGGGACACUGAGCUAAAGUCUAUCCAAUUAUUGGGGGACGAGUGAGACCCUUAUGACGACAGGGACCAUCUCUAAGCGGGAACAUUUAGCACGUGGACCUGCUGUGGGCAAGACAAUGGUGCCAUGAGAAAAGACUUGGUCAGGAAGCCUGGAUUCCUGCCCUGCCUCGCCGUUCACACCUGCCUGUUUCUUCCCCUUGGGGGGAUAAUAAAUCCCAUGGCCUCGGUGAGUCUCGGCUUCCUCAUCCAUGGGAUGGGGCUAAUAAUCCUCGUCAGCCAGGCUCUCUGGGUUGUUGGGAGAACGGAAUGAGAAAGGCUUUGUAAAUGACAGGCACCAGCACGCUCUGGGAGCAGCUGUCAUGGUCAGGCUGGUCAAGCAGACAGAGGCUCCCAGAUGCGAGCGGGGCUCAGCCUCGAACCCCUUUUUAUUCAGGCCGGGCCCCUGGCAGCAAAUCCAUAGGCAGAGGUCACAAUGGAAAAUCGAAGGCGCCCUGAUGGCUAAAGCCGACUGAAACGGAAUUAACCUCCUUUUACUCAGCGAGGCAGAGGCAAUAUUCUGUGUUCACAAUGUGUCUGUGUGUCUAUCCGCAUUUACAGUUCAGUCAGCUAAAUUUCCGUAUGGUGACACCGUGCACCUCACUCCUUCCAGCAGCAUUCCCUCCGAACCCUCAGUGUAAAAGAUGAGACAUUAGGCCGCCGGGCCUACAGGCAGACGGGCACC